GCUGCUGUGGCUCAACGUAGAGCGUCCUCUCAAUCUGGAUGGUGAUCCCUGACUCUUGUGAGGAAAGUGUGGGUUCGAAUCCCACCAGCAGCA